GAAGUGGGGUGGGCUUAUUAUAUAAAUGUCUGAACUAGCCCCACCCCUGUCUCUCAUCAUCUCUCCCAAAUCACCCCUUUAGAGACCCCAUCAAAACCCUAGCUGCCCCUAAAUCCCACCACCACCCAUCGGCUGCGCCAACGCCAAUCCCAACUAAAUUAACACCAUGUGAUCCCCUCACUCUCCUCUUUGUAAAUCCUACUCCAUUUCCCUCGAACAUGUCCUAAAAUCAUUGAAUCUAAGUUGAAAGUGAGACCUAAAAAUAUCAAAACUCCAGAAUCGGUGGAUUCGUUGACGAUUGAGAUCAAAAUGGACCUUGACCAUGUGUUUUCAUCUUAAAUCACAUGGUUGAUACCCCUUUUAGUCAAAAUCGAGAGGAUAAAUAAGAAAUCUUAGCCAGCUGAUUAGGUAUUUUUGUUUCAUUUCUGGUUUUACCUCCUUUAUUGCAUUGUUUUUGGUCAUCCUUCUCCGUCUCCUUUUAUAUGUUUGUGUCGUCUUUGCAUGGGUCUUUUUUAUCUGGGCUUCGCCAUUACUUAAAAUUUUACUUUAAGUCUAUUUUGGUUUAGUCUAUCUAGUAUAUCUAAUUCUAUUCAUAUCUUGGGCCAAAGAAGGCAGUUGGUUCAGAAAUUUGUUUGAGCCCAAAUGGUUGGCUCGUUCUAUUACUUAUUUUUCUGUUUGAGUUGAAAUUGAAUCAGAAAGGGAAUUAGCUCAGAUGGAAAGUUAAUUGGGGUCUGUAGACCCAUUAGCUUGGUCAGUUGACCCGGGUUGGUUUUUAGGGUAAUGAACAGGGUUGAGGGGGUAAUUUUUGUAAUUUGGGAUAGGGAAUCUUGUUGUUACAGCUUAAGGAAGCUUCGAGGAAGCUAGAGUUGGGGAUUAAAUGAAAAUAUGAUUCUAACUUAAGGAUCCUUAAGCAAAAAAGAGAAUUGAAUAAGGGUCCAAGUGCAAAUUUGCUUAAUCAUUAGGUUGCCCUAUUUUCUUGCCUAUAAAUACAUCUCUUCCUUGUAUUUCAAGGCAUAGAUUGAAGAGUUAAAAAAUUCUGAAAAGAAGUCGGCUAAGAAUUCCACUAAAAUUUACUGUUUCAUUGAUCUUUUUGGUGAUUUCUUAGAUUUCAAAUUCUUGAAAUGAUUUUUGAUUUAUCUAGGUGUUGAAAUGGUGUGAUUUCGGGUGGAUUAAGAGUUUGAUUUGAAGUUUUGGUUGAUUUUUGUUGAUUAUUGCACAUCAUCUUCUGGGAUUGAGAUGGUUUUGGUGGGACUGAUUUUUGCUACUGAUACAUUGCUGCUCAACCACUGAUUCCUCAUUUCUUUGUUGCCUUUCGAUCUCCGAGUAAACCUAUAAACUAUGGAGAGCAAGUGAUUGUCGAGUCUCAUGUUCAAAUGGAAUUUAGAAUGAAUAUGAAGUUGAUUUGAACAUUUCUGUUUCUAUUUUUCUCAUUUAUAUUUGUAAUAAAUAUGGAGUUCAGAUUUCUAGAUGAAUUAGUAUCAAUUGAAAGUGUGAGUGCUAGAUUAUGGGUUUUAGCAUUAUGAAAGGUGAAGGUUUUAGAUUGGUUAACUUGUUGGUUAAAACUAACUAAAGCUUUGUUUUAUGUGGAUUUCUAAGAAAUGAGUUGAUUGUGUAUAGGCGUCUAUGACAAAAGCCUGAAGCCAAGCCAAGUUUUGCUUUUUCCUGUUUACCUAGUCUCUUGAAUCAUGCUUUAGAGUAUUAUGUUGACAUCCUAUCAAAUGGAAGCUAAGUUUAUUUGUAUGUUAAGGGUUUGACAUUAGCUCUAAUCGUAUGAUUUGGUUAAGUAGGAGUACUGACUGUGCUUAUGCAUGAAAAUCAUCUCAUGAGGAGGCUAGCAGUAACAUCUGAUAGUGUACCCUUCUUCUUUCUUUACACUUGAAGAUUAAUUGGUAAUAUUAAGUUAUUCGUUCAAGUAUAAAAGGUCAUAAGACACUUCAGAAUUAUGUAUCAUGAUGAAUCAUUUAAUGUGGGCAUGUAACUUGAACAAUAUGUGCUAGUUUUAAUAGUGGUUCUCGGAUGGCUAUUUUAAAUUUAGACUAGACGUGUUAGAUGUUUGGAUUGUUGUAUUUGCAUGAAAGGUAUUGAUAAAUGUUUCAAAUAAACAAAUAGUUUAAUCCACCUAAAGCCAUGUAGCAUGGAUUGUAGAAUUGAAUGCAAAAGAUUGACUCCUUGUGUUGAUGUGUUGGCUCGAAACAAAGACUCCAUCACUUGUUGAAGCCGAUCUAGCUUCAACUUGGGUUCCCUCAUGGGUCCCAGCUUGGACUCAUGAUGAACUCUAAUUAAAAAAGGGCAUCACCUCUACAGGUUAUUGGGCCUCACGUUGGGCCCAAAUUUCAACUUCAAACUAUUAAAUUUUCCUUUAAAAUAUAUUUUGUUAGUUUUAACCAUGGUAGAGUCCUUGCCCAUUAAUGUUUUGAUAAUUGAGUUUCUUUAAUUAGUGGGGUGAACUAUACUAGAUAACAUAAAUAAUUCAUGGCCCUCCAAAUAUAACUUGAAUUCAUUUUCUUUAGAUUAGAAUCAAGGUGCGCCGUGCCAAACAAGAAUGACAAUUGCAUGACCCUCUUUAAUUAAUUUUUGAUUUAAUACUUAGAAUUCGACGCGUUCCACCUAGUGGAAUUUUCAUGGUCC
rnacentral:lncRNA from 1 species